CGGGUGAGUAAUACGUGAGCAAUGUGCCCUUGACUCUGGGAUAAGCGCUGGAAACGGCGUCUAAUACCGGAUACGACGAUCGGAGGCAUCUCCUGGUCGUGGAAAGAAUUUCGGUCAAGGAUCAGCUCACGGCCUAUCAGUUAGUUGGUGAGGUAAUGGCUCACCAAGACGACGACGGGUAGCCGGCCUGAGAGGGUGACCGGCCACACUGGGACUGAGACACGGCCCAGACUCCUACGGGAGGCAGCAGUGGGGAAUAUUGCACAAUGGGCGCAAGCCUGAUGCAGCAACGCCGCGUGAGGGACGAAGGCCUUCGGGUUGUAAACCUCUUUUAGCAGGGAAGAAGCGAAAGUGACGGUACCUGCAGAAAAAGCACCGGCUAACUACGUGCCAGCAGCCGCGGUAAUACGUAGGGUGCAAGCGUUGUCCGGAAUUAUUGGGCGUAAAGAGCUCGUAGGCGGUUUGUCACGUCUGCUGUGAAAACCCGAGGCUCAACCUCGGGCUUGCAGUGGGUACGGGCAGACUAGAGUGCGGUAGGGGAGAUUGGAAUUCCUGGUGUAGCGGUGGAAUGCGCAGAUAUCAGGAGGAACACCGAUGGCGAAGGCAGAUCUCUGGGCCGUAACUGACGCUGAGGAGCGAAAGCAUGGGGAGCAAACAGGCUUAGAUACCCUGGUAGUCCAUGCCGUAAACG
rnacentral:rRNA from 1 species